rnacentral:rRNA from 1 species
AAUAGAUACCCGGGUAGUCCACGCCGUAAACGAUGAGUGCUAAGUGUUGGGGGGUUUCCGCCCCUCAGUGCUGCAGCUAACGCAUUAAGCACUCCGCCUGGGGAGUACGGUCGCAAGACUGAAACUCAAAGGAAUUAACGGGGGCCCGCACAAGCGGUGGAGCAUGUAGUUUAAUUCGAAGCAACGCGAAGAACCUUACCAGGUCUUGACAUCCCGGUGACCACUAUGGAGACAUAGUUUCCCCUUCGGGGGCAACGGUGACAGGUGGUGCAUGGUUGUCGUCAGCUCGUGUCGUGAGAUGUUGGGUUAAGUCCCGCAACGAGCGCAACCCUUAUUCUUAGUUGCCAUCAUUCAGUUGGGCACUCUAAGGAGACUGCCGGUGAUAAACCGGAGGAAGGUGGGGAUGACGUCAAAUCAUCAUGCCCCUUAUGACCUGGGCUACACACGUGCUACAAUGGACGGUACAAACGGUUGCCAACCCGCGAGGGGGAGCUAAUCCGAUAAAACCGUUCUCAGUUCGGAUUGUAGGCUGCAACUCGCUACAUG